GGCGAACGCUGGCGGCGUGCCUAAUACAUGCAAGUAGAACGCUGAAGGAGGAGCUUGCUCUUCUGGAUGAGUUGCGAACGGGUGAGUAACGCGUAGGUAACCUGCCUGGUAGCGGGGGAUAACUAUUGGAAACGAUAGCUAAUACCGCAUAACAGUAGAUGUUGCAUGACAUUUGCUUAAAAGGUGCAAUUGCACCACUACCAGAUGGACCUGCGUUGUAUUAGCUAGUUGGUGGGGUAACGGCUCACCAAGGCGACGAUACAUAGCCGACCUGAGAGGGUGAUCGGCCACACUGGGACUGAGACACGGCCCAGACUCCUACGGGAGGCAGCAGUAGGGAAUCUUCGGCAAUGGACGGAAGUCUGACCGAGCAACGCCGCGUGAGUGAAGAAGGUUUUCGGAUCGUAAAGCUCUGUUGUAAGAGAAGAACGAGUGUGAGAGUGGAAAGUUCACACUGUGACGGUAUCUUACCAGAAAGGGACGGCUAACUACGUG
rnacentral:rRNA from 1 species